CUCCCAUACUAAAGAGCUAAAUGUCAAACUUCUAUUCCAAAGUACAUGAAUAAAUUAAUACAUUCCUAGUGUACGAAUUUAUUCGUGCAUUCAAUAAACAUCAUCGAAGCACUGUCAAUGUACUAGGCAUUGUUUUAAGCGCUGGGAAAACAAAGAUAACUAAAAUAUAUUCCCUGUCUUGUACAUCUUCAAACAAACAUGAGAGACAGAUUCUAGGACAGUAAUUACAGCAAUUACAGUAAGUACUGUGAAAAACAAAGAGCAAGAAACAUAUAACUCUGCCUAGGAAGGGCAACGAAGACUUCCAGGAGGUGGUGGUAUUGGAAUUGAUUUUUGAGAGCUAAGUAGGAACAACCAGAAGUCCAGGAAGAGGAAUGGCGUUUCAGACAGAGGGAGUGGCCAUGGAAAAACCUUGUUUUCACUUUGGGUAACGAGCAGUCUGCAGUGUUUUACUCUGACUAGGGUUCUGGGAACCUGGGACCAAAAAAAAAAAAAAGGUGGGAUAGGAUAGAAUUGGCCCAUGAAGUUUAGAGUUGAAACCAAGGAUCCCCAAAAGGCAACAUCCAGGGAUAAAAAUAUACUUAAUCCCUAGUGGAAAAUAACACCUACACAUCAUCCUAAGGGCACCAAGUAAAAAGAAAAAAAAAAAUGCAGCAACUGGAGGCAGCACAAGUUUGGAGCUGUGAGGAGGGAAGUCUGGAGCUGUUAGGGAGAAGCCCUGGCACAGAGCUAUAAGGGACUUUUAGAGGUAACGUAAGGCCCAUCUGGGGUGGGGCACUGCAGUGUUAAAGACACAGAACCUGUUCAGGCAAGAGUGGAAGCAAGAGGACGCAUACCACAGUCUGGAAUUGACAGUCAUCCUGACAGAUGCCCUGACAAUUGAAAAAGAUGGUAGAAAAUGGGGAGUCAGGGGCUACAUCCUCAGGAGCCUUGAACAUCAUCUUCCCAGCUGGGAUUUCCCAAGGGUAGCAUGGGUACCACUGGUAAGAACCAAUGUGUCAUUACAUGGUACACAAACAAUGUUUUAAAGACUUGUAGUAGUUAUGUACUGAUUUUCUAGUUUUAUACAAACUAGAAAAAAUGUGUAACUAACACGAAAUCUGCAAUUACACAGAUAGGAAGAUUGCUUAAGAAGAAGCUAAUAUAAAAGCACCAUGUUCAUGAUGCUUUGACAUCUUGGGGCAUCUUGCAGACCAGGGAUGGACUGCCCCUCCCAGGUUUGGCUAAUUCCUGGAGAUACUAAACAACUUGGCUUAGAACACACCUUUUAUAUGCAAGACAACAAAUCCAGGCUCCAUACCCUCAUCUCAUCCUUUUAUCAGGCUCCUCCAGUACAGAACAUUACCUUCCUGCUCUAAGUCACCCAGAGCCAGUUAGCUGCCACUCUUCCUUGAGAUCUCAGCUCAACUGUCCUUUUCCCAGAGAAGUCUUUACAGAGACACAGAAGAAGUCAGAUCUCCUAUAUGGUCUUAGAGCACUGAGAAUUUUACCCUCUUGUCAGUGUUGGCCAUGUGAUUUCAUUUGGCAAAUGACAUGGGAGUGGAAGUGACAUGCCCAGAAGAUUUGAGAGCCGUGGUGAGAUCCCAUCAUUUCCCUUCUGACACAAGGCACACCACAACCCCACAUAGAGGUAUUCUGUCAAUCUGGAUCGCAAAGUGAAAAGGAUGAAGGACAAAGUCACAACUGAUGGACAGCCAUCGUGGAAGAUGAGGAAAAUAUCAGCUUUACUCUUGAAAAGCACUGAGAUUUGAGGGUCAAUUGUUCUUGCAGCAUAGCCCAGCAAAGAAUGACCGAUACACUUUUCUUCACAAAACCUCUGUCUAAUUGAACUCAAACUCUGAACUAUACACUGAAUGAAAGAAUGGUCCGUUCCCAUUUCGAUAGGUCAACCCUCAUUUUUAUAAGUUCACAGCUUCAGGAAGGCACACAUGCAGUCAUGAAGGGAGAAAGUGGAGUUCUCAACUAUUGAAGCCAGUGGGCUAACUUCUGCAUUCACCGACAUGAAACAUGCCGAAGUCUGUUUGCCUUGCAGUUCUCUGCUGGAUGUGCCAAGAGGGCUCUAUUUUAGAGAAGGAAAACCAACAAUAGAUUCCCGCCAACUAAAAGGGGAUUUCUUUUCCUGGGAAGGAAAAAAAAAGAUCUAUAUCUGGUGAUUUGUACUGAAACAAGAAUAGUCAGAGCUCAUCAUCAUAUCAUUUUUAAUAGUAACAUCUCAUAGAGAAACAUAAAAGAAACUUAUUAAAGACAAAAAUAGUUUAUACAAACUUUUUGCUAUGCAUAUAAAGUUGAAUGCAUAACAUUCCUUCCUCCUCCAGUCUACCUUCUCCACUCCUGUUUCAUUUCCUUUUUUUGUCUUUUUUCCUUGUCCUUACCCAAAAUCUACUCAAGGCCAUUUUGGAAGAUGCAAGGAUGAUAGAUAUGGGUAUAAUAAAUAAAUAUAUUCUUUUAUGUAUAUUUAUAAAUAAUUUUUACAUUU